rnacentral:rRNA from 1 species
GACGAACGCUGGCGGCGUGCCUAGUACAUGCAAGUAGAACGCUGAAGAGAGGAGCUUGCUCUUCUUGGAUGAGUUGCGAACGGGUGAGUAACGCGUAGGUAACCUGCCUUGUAGCGGGGGAUAACUAUUGGAAACGAUAGCUAAUACCGCAUAACAAUGGAUGACACAUGUCAUUUAUUUGAAAGGGGCAAUUGCUCCACUACAAGAUGGACCUGCGUUGUAUUAGCUAGUAGGUGAGGUAACGGCUCACCUAGGCGACGAUACAUAGCCGACCUGAGAGGGUGAUCGGCCACACUGGGACUGAGACACGGCCCAGACUCCUACGGGAGGCAGCAGUAGGGAAUCUUCGGCAAUGGGGGUAACCCUGACCGAGCAACGCCGCGUGAGCGAAGAAGGUUUUCGGAUCGUAAAGCUCUGUUGUAAGUCAAGAACGAGUGUGAGAGUGGAAAGUUCACACUGUGACGGUAGCUUACCAGAAAGGGACGGCUAACUACGUGCCAGCAGCCGCGGUAAUACGUAGGUCCCGAGCGUUGUCCGGAUUUAUUGGGCGUAAAGCGAGCGCAGGCGGUUUGAUAAGUCUGAAGUUAAGGCUGUGGCUCAACCAUAGUUCGCUUUGGAAACUGUCAAACUUGAGUGCAGAAGGGGAGAGUGGAAUUCCAUGUGUAGCGGUGAAAUGCGUAGAUAUAUGGAGGAACACCGGUGGCGAAAGCGGCUCUCUGGUCUGUAACUGACGCUGAGGCUCGAAAGCGUGGGGAGCGAACAGGAUUAGAUACCCUGGUAGUCCACGCCGUAAACGAUGAGUGCUAGGUGUUGGAUCCUUUCCGGGAUUCAGUGCCGCAGCUAACGCAUUAAGCACUCCGCCUGGGGAGUACGACCGCAAGGUUGAAACUCAAAGGAAUUGACGGGGGCCCGCACAAGCGGUGGAGCAUGUGGUUUAAUUCGAAGCAACGCGAAGAACCUUACCAGGUCUUGACAUCCCGAUGCUAUUUCUAGAGAUAGAAAGUUACUUCGGUACGUCGGUGACAGGUGGUGCAUGGUUGUCGUCAGCUCGUGUCGUGAGAUGUUGGGUUAAGUCCCGCAACGAGCGCAACCCCUAUUGUUAGUUGCCAUCAUUCAGUUGGGCACUCUAGCGAGACUGCCGGUAAUAAACCGGAGGAAGGUGGGGAUGACGUCAAAUCAUCAUGCCCCUUAUGACCUGGGCUACACACGUGCUACAAUGGUUGGUACAACGAGUUGCGAGUCGGUGACGGCAAGCUAAUCUCUUAAAGCCAAUCUCAGUUCGGAUUGUAGGCUGCAACUCGCCUACAUGAAGUCGGAAUCGCUAGUAAUCGCGGAUCAGCACGCCGCGGUGAAUACGUUCCCGGGCCU